rnacentral:rRNA from 1 species
GAUGAACGCUGGCGGCGUGCCUAAUACAUGCAAGUCGAGCGAACAGACGAGGAGCUUGCUCCUUCGACGUUAGCGGCGGACGGGUGAGUAACACGUAGGUAACCUACCUAUAAGACUGGGAUAACUUCGGGAAACCGGAGCUAAUACCGGAUAAUAUUUCGAACCGCAUGGUUCGAUAGUGAAAGAUGGCUUUGCUAUCACUUAUAGAUGGACCUGCGCCGUAUUAGCUAGUUGGUAAGGUAACGGCUUACCAAGGCAACGAUACGUAGCCGACCUGAGAGGGUGAUCGGCCACACUGGAACUGAGACACGGUCCAGGCUCCUACGGGAGGCAGCAGUAGGGAAUCUUCCGCAAUGGGCGAAAGCCUGACGGAGCAACGCCGCGUGAGUGAUGAAGGUCUUCGGAUCGUAAAACUCUGUUAUUAGGGAAGAACAAACGUGUAAGUAACUGUGCACGUCUUGACGGUACCUAAUCAGAAAGCCACGGCUAACUACGUG